UACGAAGGGUGCAAGCGUUGUUCGGAAUCAUUGGGCGUAAAGCGCGCGCAGGCGGAUUGAUAAGUCAGGUGUGAAAUCUCGAGGCUCAACCUCGAAACUGCGCCUGAAACUAUUAGUCUAGAAUGUCGGAGGGGGCAGGGGAAUUUCACGUGUAGGGGUAAAAUCCGUAGAGAUGUGAAGGAACACCGGAGGCGAAGGCGCCUGCCUGGACGACUAUUGACGCUGAGGCGCGAAAGCGUGGGGAG
rnacentral:rRNA from 1 species